rnacentral:rRNA from 1 species
AACGUAGGAGGCGAGCGUUAUCCGGAUUUACUGGGUGUAAAGCGUGUGCAGGCGGACCGGCAAGUUGGAUGUGAAAGCUCCUGGCUUAACUGGGAGAGGUCGUUCAAAACUGCCGGACUUGAGUGUGGGAGAGGGAGGCGGAAUUCCGGGUGUAGUGGUGAAAUGCGUAGAUAUCCGGAGGAACACCAGUGGCGAAAGCGGCCUCCUGGCCCAAUACUGACGCUCAGACACGAAAGCUAGGGGAGCGAACGGG